UACGAGGGGUCCUAGCGUUGUUCGGAAUCAUUGGGCGUAAAGGGUGUGUAGGUGGCUAUGUAAGUCAGGUGUGAAAGCCCCGGGCUCAACCCGGGAAGUGCAUCUGAUACUGCGUAGCUUGAGUACCGAAGAGGAUAGUGGAAUUCCAGGUGUAGUGGUGAAAUACGUAGAUAUCAGGAGGAACACCGAUUGCGAAGGCAGCUCGCUGGGACGUCACUGACGCUGAGACGCGAAAGCGUGGGGAGCAAACAGG
rnacentral:rRNA from 1 species